rnacentral:rRNA from 1 species
UCCUACGGGAGGCAGCAGUGGGGGAUGUUGCACAAUGGAGGGAACUCUGAUGCAGCGACGCCGCGUGAGGGAAGAAGGUUUUCGGAUUGUAAACCUCUGUCUUCGGUGACGAAACGAGACGGUAGCCGAGGAGGAAGCCACGGCUAACUACGUGCCAGCAGCCGCGGUAAUACGGAGGAUGCGAGCGUUAUCCGGAUUUAUUGGGUUUAAAGGGUGCGUAGGCGGACUGUUAAGUCAGCGGUAAAAGCCCGGGGCUCAACCUCGGCGAGCCGUUGAAACUGGCUGUCUUGAGAUGUCGAGAGGGA